ACAUGUAUUUUGUAAAGAGUAAAAGACAUACUACGUCUCCACCUCUAAAAGCAGUGUAAUCUAAAGUUUCCAAAUUUCUUAAUUGUGUAAUAAAUAAUGGAUUAGAAUACAUGUUCUUUCCUUUUUGUUCCUUAUGUUGGCUUUUUUCCUAUAUUUAAAAUCUUUAAUAAUUUAACUUACAAUGCAUUUUUCUGAGGCAUGAACAGCACCCCAUCAACAGCCUGGGAAAGCAGAGGCAGAGUUGUUACACACAUGCUAAGUACUGGGGAUCAGAAUGCAAUCACGAAGAGAUAGGUGACCCCAGAUAAGAGGAGAUGAACAACAGGAGUGGGAUGAGAGCAAAUCAUGGAUUUUUAGCUACUGGCACACCAGAAUGAGACCACACAAAUAUCUGAAGGCAGAACAAGUAGUUGGGACUUCCACUAUGAUGCUGAAAGGAAAUGAAGAAAGGAGACAUCCUUAUUUUGUUCCUAAUCCUGGUGGGAAAGCUUCAAGUUUCUCAACGGACCUCCUGCAGAGCCCCUGUCCAUCUCCUUGUGCCU
rnacentral:sRNA from 1 species